rnacentral:rRNA from 1 species
GACGAAGGACCCGAGCGUUAUCCGGAUUCAUUGGGUUUAAAGGGUGCGUAGGCGGACUGAUAAGUCAGUGGUGAAAUCUCCAGGCUUAACUUGGAAACUGCCAUUGAUACUGUCAGUCUUGAAUCUGGCUGAUGUGGGCGGAAUAUGACAUGUAGCGGUGAAAUGCUUAGAUAUGUCAUAGAACACCGAUUGCGAAGGCAGCUCACAAAACCAGUAUUGACGCUGAGGCACGAAAGUGCGGGGAUCAAACAGG